UACGAAGGGGGCUAGCGUUGCUCGGAAUUACUGGGCGUAAAGGGCGCGUAGGCGGAUGUUUAAGUCCGAGGUGAAAGCCCAGGGCUCAACCUUGGAACUGCCUUUGAUACUGGGCAUCUUGAGUAUGGGAGAGGUGAGUGGAACUCCGAGUGUAGAGGUGAAAUUCGUAGAUAUUCGGAAGAACACCAGUGGCGAAGGCGACUCACUGGCCCAUUACUGACGCUGAGGCGCGAAAGCGUGGGGAGCAAACAGG
rnacentral:rRNA from 1 species